GCCGGCGUGGCUCAGUUGGUAGAGCAGCUCACUCGUAAUGAGCAGGUCAUCGGUUCGAAUCCGAUCGUCGGCUCCA
rnacentral:tRNA from 1 species